ACACUCCUGCGGGAGGCAGCAGUGGGGAAUAUUGGACAAUGGGCGCAAGCCUGAUCCAGCCAUGCCGCGUGAGUGAUGAAGGCCCUAGGGUUGUAAAGCUCUUUCACCGGAGAAGAUAAUGACGGUAUCCGGAGAAGAAGCCCCGGCUAACUUCGUGCCAGCAGCCGCGGUAAUACGAAGGGGGCUAGCGUUGUUCGGGAUUACUGGGCGUAAAGCGCACGUAGGCGGAUCGAUCAGUCAGGGGUGAAAUCCCAGGGCUCAACCCUGGAACUGCCUUUGAUACUGUCGAUCUGGAGUAUGGAAGAGGUGAGUGGAAUUCCGAGUGUAGAGGUGAAAUUCGUAGAUAUUCGGAGGAACACCAGUGGCGAAGGCGGCUCACUGGUCCAUUACUGACGCUGAGGUGCGAAAGCGUGGGGAGCAAACAGGAUUAGAUACCCGAGUAGUCC
rnacentral:rRNA from 1 species